rnacentral:rRNA from 1 species
GGAGUUAGCCGGUGCUUCUUCUGCGAGUAACGUCACAGAUGUAAGGUAUUAACUUACACCCUUUCCUCCUAGCUGAAAGUGCUUUACAACCCGAAGGCCUUCUUCACACACGCGGCAUGGCUGCAUCAGGGUUUCCCCCAUUGUGCAAUAUUCCCCACUGCUGCCUCCCGUAGGAGUCUGGGCCGUGUCUCAGUCCCAGUGUGGCUGAUCAUCCUCUCAGACCAGCUAGGGAUCGUCGCCUAGGUGAGCCUUUACCUCACCUACUAGCUAAUCCCACCUGGGCUUAUCCAUCAGCGCAAGGCCCGAAGGUCCCCUGCUUUCCCCCGUAGGGCGUAUGCGGUAUUAGCAGUCGUUUCCAACUGUUAUCCCCACAAAUGGGCAAAUUCCCAGGCAUUACUCACCCGUCCGCCGCUCGUCAUCUUCAAAAGCAAGCUUUUGAAAUGUUACCGCUCGACUUGCAUGUGUUAGGCCUGCCGCCAGCGUUCAAUCUGAGCCAGAAUCGAACCCUGA